rnacentral:ncRNA from 2 species
AGUAAGCACUAUGGGAGCUGGUAAAACCGGCUGAGAGUGGACCUUUUAGGUCUUUACCCUUGACCUGAUCUGGGUAAUGCCGGCGUUGGCAAGUGCAACUCUCAGCAC